GGGGAGGCGCCGAGGGGCGGCAAGAGUGGAGAAAGUGCGGAAAGAAGCAACAGCCGCUCCACCCGCGGGCGGAAAAGUGGCCGGGCGCGGCGGCGGGAUGCGGCGCAGCUAACGGUCCCCGGCGGCCGCGCGAGCCGCUAGGCGCAGAGGCAGAAUCGCGGGUUUCCCCGGUCUACCCAGACGGGAAGUGACAGCACUUGGGUUGAACUUCAGCUGGACAGAGAAGGAGGCGAGAAAUUCCGCUCUCAGGAAAGCAGCAUGAGUAAUCCCCGCACCGUGCCAGGCUCACUUCCUCAUCUGCGCCUAGCUCACCUGCUGUCACCUUGCCUACCCCACCCUGCAGGGUCCCAGGGUGGCCAGGCUCGUGGGCGUUGCGACUUGCAUAAGCAACCCUGAGGAGCAGGCCUGGGGAACCUGUAGUCUGAAACGGCGAGUGUGUGAGGCAGGAGGAUGGCUGCGAGUUCAAGGCCAGACUGCGCGACAGUGGGACCCUGCCUCAAAAUAACUACAGUCUCACACACAUCUGAGCAGUGUAAUGACCUCAAGGCUAAAAACAAGGCUGACUAGUGUUCGCUGAGGCCGAUUUUUAUCUUAAGCUUUUGACUUUAUACAAGACCUAAAUACUUUUGUACCUGCCUUCAGUAAUAAGGAUUUAAAUUUACCUCUCUCCCCGCUUCCCACCCCUUUCAAAGGAGGAAUUGUGUGGGACAACUUUAUGAGACAAAUGAACUAAGCCGUUUUAGAUAUGUAGUUAUUGUUAUUGUAUAAAGGUGAGACUUAUGGAUAGAUAUAACAAACAUCCCAUGGAGUAUAAGAAAUAAUUCUCCAUCCCCCAAGAGGAAAUAAUACACUAAACCAGCACAGAGCAAGUACACGAAGGCUGCUUGGUAAGGUUUGCCUACUGAUUUUGCCAUGCCUUAGGCAGGAUAUUUUAUUGUGUAACUAGUCAUGGUGACAUACACUAGCAGUCUUUGCUUGUGUGAGGAGGAGGCAGGAAGGUCACGACUCUCAGGCCAGCUACAUAGUGAGACCCUGCCCCCCCAAAAGAAUCCUCCAACCCCCAAAUGUUUAGAGUUAUUAAACCGAAGUAAGUGUACAGCCGAAGUCCAAUGUUGAAAAGGUGCUGGCUGUAGAUGAGCCUCCCCCCACCCGUCUGCUGCAUCAGAAUAAUGGGACUGCACAUGUUCUUUGCACAUCAGAUCUGCAGUCAUUGCAAAACUAGACUUUUUGGUCCUUGUGCAUACUGGCAGCGCUUCUUUUCCUCAGUACCGUCUUAGCUGGAACACAUUUGUGUCAGAAUGGCACCCUUGGGUUAGUGGCCUUGGGUCACCUGUAACUCAGCCCUUGAGCUUGGGAGCCCCAUUCUUUGGCAUCCUGAGUAGCUAGCUGGGAUCUCAAGAAUGAGCCAUGGCCUGGCCUCAUUGCUUUCUCAAUCAGACACCAUAGACGUUUGUCUUUUACCAGAAAUUGUCUAGCUUCCACUUUCUACAGUCACCCUUGUUUCCAGCCUUCCCUUAAACUUGGGAGGUGUCAUACAUCCAGUCCUUUUCCUCUG